rnacentral:rRNA from 1 species
CUGGCUCAGGACGAACGCUGGCGGCGUGCUUAACACAUGCAAGUCGAACGGAAAGGCCUGCAGCUUGCUGCGGGUACUCGAGUGGCGAACGGGUGAGUAACACGUGGGUGAUCUGCCUUGCACUUCGGGAUAAGCUUGGGAAACUGGGUCUAAUACCGGAUAGGACAGCUGUUUAGUGUCAGUUGUGGAAAGUUUUUUCGGUGCAAGAUGAGCUCGCGGCCUAUCAGCUUGUUGGUGGGGUAAUGGCCUACCAAGGCGUCGACGGGUAGCCGGCCUGAGAGGGUGUACGGCCACAUUGGGACUGAGAUACGGCCCAGACUCCUACGGGAGGCAGCAGUGGGGAAUAUUGCACAAUGGGCGGAAGCCUGAUGCAGCGACGCCGCGUGGGGGAUGAAGGCCUUCGGGUUGUA